rnacentral:rRNA from 1 species
UACGGAGGGUGCAAGCGUUAUCCGGAUUUACUGGGUUUAAAGGGUGCGUAGGUGGGUCUGCAAGUCAGUGGUGAAAUCUUCGAGCUUAACUCGGAAACUGCCAUUGAUACUAUAGGUCUUGAAUUAUCUGGAGGUAAGCGGAAUAUGUCAUGUAGCGGUGAAAUGCUUAGAUAUGACAUAGAACACCAAUUGCGAAGGCAGCUUACUACGGAUUGAUUGACACUGAGGCACGAAAGCGUGGGGAUCAAACAGG